UCUAUCCGUCAAGCCCAGCUUGUGUUGGGGCACUGCGGCUGCCGCAGGCCCCCAAAGAAAGUGGCGGGACCGUUGUCGUGCCGAGCGUAGUACAGCACCUCGCUCCGGCGCCGGCAGCGGCCUCCAGCCGUUAAAGCCCCUACUUUUACGUACU
rnacentral:misc_RNA from 1 species